AUGAACGCUGGCGGCGUGCCUAAUACAUGCAGGUCGAGCGCACGGACGAGAAGCUUGCUUCUCUGAUGUUAGCGGCGGACGGGUGAGUAACACGUGGAUAACCUACCUAUAAGACUGGGAUAACUUCGGGAAACCGGAGCUAAUACCGGAUGAUAUUUUGAACCGCAUGGUUCAAAAGUGAAAGACGGUCUUGCUGUCACUUAUAGAUGGAUCCGCGCUGCAUUAGCUAGUUGGUAAGGUAACGGCUUACCAAGGCAACGAUGCAUAGCCGACCUGAGAGGGUGAUCGGCCACACUGGAACUGAGACACGGUCCAGACUCCUACGGGAGGCAGCAGUAGGGAAUCUUCCGCAAUGGGCGAAAGCCUGACGGAGCAACGCCGCGUGAGUGAUGAAGGUCCUCGGAUCGUAAAACUCUGUUAUUAGGGAAGAACAUAUGUGUAAGUAACUGUGCACAUCUUGACGGUACCUAAUCAGAAAGCCACGGCUAACUACGUG
rnacentral:rRNA from 1 species